UAGUAGUACGGAAUAAUUGUUGGAAACGGCAACUAAUACCGUAUAUGCCCUACGGGGGAAAAAUUUAUUGCUAUUAGAUGAGCCUAUAUUAGAUUAGCUAGUUGGUGGAGUAAUAGCCUACCAAGGCAAUGAUCUAUAGCUGAUCUGAGAGGAUGAUCAGCCACACUGGAACUGAGAUACGGUCCAGACUCCUACGGGAGGCAGCAGUGGGGAAUAUUGGACAAUGGGCGAAAGCCUGAUCCAGCCAUGCCGCAUGAGUGAAGAAGGCCUUUGGGUUGUAAAGCUCUUUUAGUGAGGAAGAUAAUGACGGUACUCACAGAAGAAGUCCUGGCUAACUCCGUGCCAGCAGCCGCGGUAAUACGGAGAGGGCUAGCGUUAUUCGGAAUUAUUGGGCGUAAAGGGCGCGUAGGCUGGUUAAUAAGUUAAAAGUGAAAUCCCGAGGCUUAACCUUGGAAUUGCUUUUAAAACUAUUAAUCUAGAGAUUGAAAGAGGAUAGAGGAAUUCCUGAUGUAGAGGGGAAAUUCGUAAAUAUUAGGAGGAACACCAGUGGCGAAGGCGUCUAUCUGGUUCAAAUCUGACGCUGAAGCGCGAAAGCGUGGGGAGCAAACAGGAUUAGAUACCCUGGUAGUCCACGCUGUAAAC
rnacentral:rRNA from 1 species